UAUCAAUCCGGAUACAGUUUUUGAACAAGCAGAGUGGCGCAAAUUUGGGGACAAAUUGUUUGAUGAAGUUAUCAAUGACAAUAAGACUGCUAAAAAAUUAUCGAAGCCUUGGAAAGCAGUCACUAACGCCUUAGCUAUACAUCAGGCCGAGCAGAGAGUCGCUGCUGCCGCUACAGAGCGACUGGGAUUGCCAGGAAGAGCUGGUAGUGUUAACCCUCAGAUGGACGAGGAAAUAAGAGAGCAAAAACCAGACAGAAAAAACACAAGCCCGUUUACAGACGGUGUUCAACAGAGGCAGAGGAUGUGGAACCAAAUAGCAAAUGAGGCCCUGCGUGAGGGUGAACACGAGAUAGCUGCACAAUUGAUUCCAGAGGCCUUCCCGGUAAUAUACUCACCACCGGACACCCAGGGUAAUGUUACGGUUAAUCUAGUGAAUUUGGACUGGAAAUUGUUAACUCAGCUGCGGUCCACAGUAAAUGACUCAGGUCUGAAAGGUGAACCUACAAGACACAUGCUGGACUACAUUUGGGGAAUGAAUAUUUUGCUUCCAGGAGACAUACGCAACAUAAUGAAAUUAAUUUUGACCCAACACCAGCAGCUUUUAUUUAAUGCCCAUUGGCACGCUGCUUGUCAAGAAGCAGUUGCAGUGAUAAGAGCACCGGGGGACCCUUUACAUGGGGUCACGCUGGAAGAGUUGAUGGGGAUAGGACCGUAUUUUAGGACAGAAGCACAGGCAUUGCUGGGACCUGAUAAAGCCAAGGAAUCAAUGAGAACCGCCAGAAGAGCAUUGGAUCGGAUAAAGGGGCCAGGGGGAAUACCUUCCUACAUGGGAAUCAAACAGGGUAGAGAGGAACCAUUUGGGCUUUUUAUUGAUCGCGUUGCAAAUGCAAUACAGGCGGCAGGGGUGCCCGAUUACCUCCAGGGCACGAUAUUAAAACAGUGCGCAAUUCAGAAUAGCAACCCCUCUACUCGCAAUAUAUUGGCUUCCUUGCCCGGGACAUGGACAAUCGAGGAAGGGUUGGAAAGAAUGGCUCAGGUACCAGUAGGCCCACAAGCUAUGUGUCGUGGUUUAACCCGGCCGG
rnacentral:lncRNA from 1 species